GCUAGCGGGAGGCCUAAUACAUGCAAGUCGAACGGUAACAGGGGUAGCAAUACCCGCUGACGAGUGGCGUACGGGUGCGUAACGCGUACACAAUCUGCCUUAUACUGGGGGAUAGCCUCGGGAAACUGAGAUUAAUACCCCAUAACAUAUUGAAUGGGCAUCCAUUUACUAUUAAAACUCCGGUGGUAUAAGAUGAGUGAGCGUCCGAUUAGCUAGUUGGUGAGGUAACGGCUCACCAAGGCAACGAUCGGUAGCUGGUCUGAGAGGACGAUCAGCCACACGGGCACUGAGACACGGGCCCGACUCCUACGGGAGGCAGCAGUAGGGAAUAUUGGACAAUGGGCGCAAGCCUGAUCCAGCCAUCCCGCAUGAAGGAUUAAGGCCCUCUGGGUUGUAAACUUCUUUUCUUGGGGAAUAAAUAUCGCGAUUUAUCGCGAUUUGAAGGUACCCGAGGAAUAAGCACCGGCUAACUCCGUGCCAGCAGCCGCGGUAAUACGGAGGGUGCAAGCGUUAUCCGGAUUCACUGGGUUUAAAGGGAGCGUAGGUGGCUUUGUAAGUCAGUGGUGAAAGCCCGCAGCUCAACUGCGGAACUGCCAUUGAUACUGCUUAGCUUGAACCAGGUCGAGGUGGAUGGAAUAAUACAUGUAGCGGUGAAAUGCUUAGAUAUGUAUUAGAACACCGAUUGCGAAGGCAGUUCACUGGGCCUGUAUUGACACUGAGGCUCGAA
rnacentral:rRNA from 1 species